UAUUGAAGCAUGAGUCAAUAUUCUAUUCUAUUCGUCUAUAGCCAUUCAAAUUAGGACUAGCUUCUUACCAAUCUUUGUUUUGCAUAGCAUCACUUUGACUAUUGAAUAUGGGCAAACUUUGUGACACAAUAGAUUAAUAUGAUAUGAUAGACAUAAAUAGACAAUCAAAUGGGUGGGAACCCAUUAAAGAUGCCUUUUUAGAGAUGAUUUUGUCUAUCUACCAUGAAAUAUCUUUAGGUUUUUCUAAAAGCAUAUCAAUACAGUUUAGAACCUAUGGAUGAUAAGAAACAUUUUUAUAAAGCUCAUCAUGUACCAACCUCUUUUUUCCUUGGAGUGAUUGACACUAUCUUGGUUAAUAUAAGCAGAGAUAGGUUUAUGGAUUAAUAGCUUUGCAAUUAGGAUUGAAAUUAAGUUUGUGCGAAAAAUUGAAGUUACAUGCUUUUUGAGUUUAUGUUUCUAUUAGAAGCAAGAAUAAUUGCUUAAGGGCUUCUUUGCUAUUCUUUUGAUAUAUAUAUUGGAAACUGGCUUAUGUAUUUGCUCUCUCCUUGAUCAGCUAUUGAUUUUUUGCUUUCUUUUACUUGUGUUCUAUGAAAUUUUCCCUGCUGAAACAUAUGGAACACCAAACAUUUGCAGAAAAAGGAAUUUGAAAUGAAGGAGGGAGCAGCGAGCUAAGAAGAAGCAAAUGGAGGAAGAAGUUUCUCAACUUUCCGCUAAGCUUAAGGAGAAACAUACCAAAGAGCUGGUUGUAUAAGGCUAUAGCUGCAAUGAAAGAUGGGAGCUCUUCCCCUUGAUUUUAUAAUGAUGAUAGCAAUGUCUUGCAUUCUUCCUCUUGCUGAAUCCGCACUACUCUUCAAGAGGCUUUGUGUACUACCAAAUGAGAUACAUCUCUAUUGAUGAUUGUAUGUGAAUUUUCUUGGAAGAUUGAGAUUCUUCAAGUCAGGUGCAGUAACAUGUGGAGUUUAAUCUCCAAUAGACUGUUAGCACAUAACCUUAAAAAUUAAUCAUUUUUGGUUACUUAUUAAUUAUAUAGCAUUAAUUAUAGAGCAUUUACUACUCAUUGUAUAGGCUGAUGAGUGUGUUGUUUUUGUACUCACAUUGAUGGAAUUGAUAAGAUAACGAUGUCAAAAAACAAGGGUCAUGGACAUACACACAUAUUUAUUGGUUAUAGAAAAUGAACUUUGGUGAUGUAGGUCAUACUCUACUAAUAAAAUAAUCCAUCAAGAUUGCGAUUUGGAGAUCUAAGCCAAUUCAAUGGAUGUAUUGUUGUUUAAUAUGUUGACAAUUCCUUAUAUCUAUAAUUGUGCUAUUGUCUUCAUAUUGACAAAGAAUGUGAAACGAGUUCCUGUGGAUCUGGAUCAGGCUUAGAAGAGAAGUCUUUAAGUCAACUUUGCUUAGAAUUUCUGACUCUUCUAUUUCAUCUGUUGUUUAAUAUAUUUUUAAUAAUCAAGGUAUCAAUUG